rnacentral:tRNA from 1 species
CCGCCGCAUGCGCCGGGUUUGCCGCGCGGCAUGUGGCGGCCAUGCGCUUGUGCCGUAUGCACGCGCGAUUUCGGUGCAAUCUUCCGGGGCGGCGGU